UGCACUAUGGCGCAGUUGGUAGCACUGUUUUCCUGCAGCAAGAAGGUCCUGGGUUCGAAUCCCAGGGUGGGAUAA